rnacentral:rRNA from 1 species
AAACUCCUACGGGAGGCAGCAGUGGGGAAUAUUGCACAAUGGGGGGAACCCUGAUGCAGCGACGCCGCGUGAGCGAAGAAGUAUUUCGGUAUGUAAAGCUCUAUCAGCAGGGAAGAAGAAAUGACGGUACCUGACUAAGAAGCACCGGCUAAAUACGUGC